UUUGCCAUUACUUUCAAUGGCAAAAACCACAAUUACUUUUGCACCAACCUA
ensembl:miRNA